UAAUUUUUUUUGUUUAUUGUUCUUUUUGCGAUUUUCGUUCUAUUUUUGGAAAUCUGAAUUUAUAUGGUUUUUAGGUAUUUCUUUGCAGUUGAAUCAUAUUGUUUGAUUUUUGUUCUUUUCAUAUAAUUAGUUUAGAUCUGAGUAAUAUCGAGUUCACUUUAAAUUGGGUUUAGGCUUGUCUAUGUUGAUUAGAAAUUUGCGAAUAUAUCCCUAAUUCGUGCUAAUUUAGGGUUUUUAGAUACUUCUUUGCAGUUGAAUCAUAUUGUUUGAUUUUCUUCUUUUCAUAUAAUUAGUUUAGAUCUGAGUAAUACCGAGUUCACUUUAAAUUGGGUUUAGAUUUGUCUAUGUUGAUUAGAAAUUUGCGAUUCUAUCCUUAAUUCGUGCUAAUUUUUUCGUUUCUGAGGGCUGUUGAAAUAUUUGUUCUUUUCAGCUUGAUAUUCUGUCCUAACUGAAAGCUAAAGUGUUUUAGAUUUAAGGGACCUGAUAAGCUUAAGAUGGUUAACAGAAUAGUAUGUACUAAAUAUGCAUAAUGUUGGCUAUAAUUGAGUUGAUUGCCUCUGGAUCCAGUGCAUCUAUGUCGUUUGUCUGCUGUUGUGUAGCUUUAAAUGACUACAAGUACAAGAAUCAUUUUUCUUUCCAGCCUUGUACAAGCCAAAUUUAGCCCAUAUCUAUUGUAAGGCUAGUUUGUAUUUGCUUCUUAAUCAAAGUUUUUGAGUUUAAUAAAAAGCACUAGCAAGAACCUAAGAAUGGACAAUUCGUGAUGUAAGAUCAGGUAGAAAAUUUGAUGUUUGAUUCAUGUUUUUACAUAUGUUAUACAUGUUCUUGAUCAGUUUCUGAAAAGUAGUAUUAUGAGUUACUAUUGAUCUAUUAUCAGUGUAAUUUAUUGUUGUGCAAUAUUGGUGAUGUUAUUAUCUAUUAGAACAUUACAGACCCUUCGCUAUAAUUUAUUGUUAUUUUAUCUUUUAGGACGAAACUCAAUUUAUUUGAAUUUUCUUUGCACUGUUCCAAGGCACUGACUUUUUUCCGGCGUCACAAUUUUCAUUGUCGUGAUGAGUCACUAGAACUGAAUAAGGCAAAUAGCCAUAUAGAAGUCAAAAUAUUAAUUAGUAACCAUAUGCUAAUGGUAGACUAUAGUCAAGCAAUUAGGAAUGGCAGGUCUGGAUUCGUUCACGUCCUCUCUCUUUGCUUAUUGAAUAACAACUUUUACUAUCCUUGGUAAUAUAAGAAAUAGUUAUUCUAGUUCUUAGCUGCUCCUAAAUUCUCCUAGCUUCAAUGUCUACAUGUAAUGUACUAAACUUUUGUUUAAUUGAAGAGAAAAGGACUUUUUAAGCUCGCAGAGUGAAGGUAAGUGGGUUAAUAAACCGUGCUACUAUUUCCACACAAGCUUUACUGUUGGCAGAUAAACUAGGUGUUUGCUUAAAAUUAGGUUGUAUAAAUGUUUAAAUAAGAAUUUUUGCUUAAUGAUACUAAAGUAAGGAGGCAUAUGAAAGAGUUUUUAUCUGUUUUGGAACACAACAAAAUGAUUUUUCCCAGUCUUCUAUAACCUCGUGCUAGUAGCUUUACAUGGAAAUUUAUUCAUGUAGUUUCCAGAUCGAAAUUCUCUAACUUUAUGUCUAAUCUCUGUCUUUUCAUUACCUAGUCGUAAAACAACUUCAUAGGGACUCGGGUACUUGAAUAGGGUGAUGCAAUUCAUGGAAUUUAGGCUCAUUUAAAUGUUUCCUCAAUGUUAGUAUAAGAGCUAAACAUUAAGAGGCACGUGGAACUGGAAUAAAUAGAGCUAAGAUAAGAGAAAACUACAACUGUUGUGGUGAAUCUUCGUAUGUCAUGUUCAGUAAUAUGUCCUUGUCCUAUUUAGAGAAGUUCUCUUUCAUAUGCUAAUACAUACUCUCUUGUUCUUCCUAGUGUGUUUUUACUAUUUCAGAUACAUCAGUCCUGUUCAGAGAAGUGAUUUUUCAUAUAGAUACUUCAUUCCACACAUCCAUUUGAAGUGUUGCCCACCUAGGAAUGCACGGCGUCUCUCGCCCUUUAGUAUCCUCAUGUCUCCAUGAAAGUCCUCUAUUUAAAUUGUGACCGUUCUCAUUCUUUGGCUACUGAUUUUUAACACACAGGUAUGGUAUGUUAAACUUUAUGCCCUUUGUGUAUUUGUUACUUGUUUCUUUUAUUUAUUUUGAGACUAGCUUCAGCCCUAUGUACUUUAUCUCCUUCUUUGUGUAAAUUUAGCAUCAGUGUUAUUAAGAAGCUUCUAAGUGUUAAUAGUCAUAGUAAAAGAAAUAUAUAUAGGCUUUGGACUAGAAAGUCUAUCUUUGUGUUAUUAUUUACUGUUUUGUUGCUUAAAGAAAAGAAGUUUAUAGUAGCUCUUUAAGCAUUAAAAGUAAAAUAACAAGCUUCUAUUAUUCAUUUAGUACUCCUUGGCCAGAGGAAAUGCCUAGUGCAGGCCUGCCAACUAUGGAGAUGACAGAUGAACGAUGUCUGUGUUCUGAAGUCUUUCUUUGUGCUCACCUAACAUUUCACUUGCUGCAUCCAUUAUAUUGUUGCUGAGUUUGGCCCAAACUUUUUUUACUCUCCCACAUAAGGUUGAGAAGGAUACAAGAAGACCGAGGUUGUAUGUGCUCAAUUGCUCAUUCAAGAACCUUUUAUUAAUUUAUGAGCUUUGAUCUUCGUUAUAUAAUGAUAACUCAUGAAUCGAUGAGUUGCUGUUAAUUAUUUUGCCACUUAUUUAACUGUGUAAAUAAUAUUCUUACUACUCUCACUCCGUGUUACCCCAAUUGGGUUUCAUAAUGUCUAGGCUCUAGCUAUUAUGCCAUAUGUUUCUACAGUUACUUUGCUAGAUAACGUUAUAAUUAAAUCAGAUUAAACCAGGGAGCUAAUCUCGUUUGAUUGUUUGUUAUUCUAGGGAUUUAGAGAAAAAAAUAAUUAAACUCCUUGAACCUGUAAGGUAAUAAAACAAGUUUCGUAGUACUGCGUUCUUAGUUCUUUAUAUUCCUGCUACAUUUUAUCUGUUUUCAGUAAGCUGUAAUUAUCUAUGACUUGGUCUCUUUAUAUUCCUGCUAAUUUGCGUAAUUAUCUAAUUGAUGUUUGGUGCCUCCAUUGAGAAGAACUGACAUUCUAAUUUGUGUUUCUUCUGUAAAUUUCAGAUAUUUAAGUAGUUUAUUUGUUUAAUUUAUUUCAAGGCUGGAUUUUGGGGAUGUUGCUAUCCGAUGUACCAUUUACAUGUGAUUCUCAAUUUAUCUCUUUUAUUUUAUAACGCUUUUAAAAAUCCUCAGUUGGCAAUGUUAGUAUAUUAUCCCAAAAUCAAGUUAAUGAACUCAGCAGAGGUCAAUCUACCCUUGGUCAGUCCUCUCCUUACUGAAUUUAGCCACUUACUUUGUUUAAUUUUUUCCCAUUACUAUAUUUUAGGCGCUUUGCAACCAGAGUUUGCUUCAAACAAGACUAAUGCAGUCCUUCGUACAUUUAAUUCAGUAUCUGAAUGGCUUCCGGGAAGGCCCACAAGGUCCGUGAUUCAUUUGAAGAUUAUGGUGGUCGAAGAAAGGAAUCAAGGGAUGAUGUGUACCUCUUUCUACUAUGAAGUUCAUACUCUUGUACUUAUAGGCUUGGAUUGGCCUUUGUUUUCAAGAUGAAAUUUUAGACUAAUAGGUUUUUGUAUUACUUAAUUUUAUACUUUAAGUUUUUGUAAGUUGAUUUUAUUGUUAAUUGAAGACCAUUCACAAUUCAGGUUUCA